rnacentral:tmRNA from 1 species
GGGGAUGAAAGGUUUCGACGUUCAGUCGUUUAACCGGAGAAGCGUGUCGAGAAUUUAAGGUGAUCUCGUUAAACACCCUUAAAAACAAAUAACUGCCAAAACUAAGCAGUCUGCUGACGCUUACGCACUCGCUGCGUAA